UGGGGAAUAUUGCACAAUGGGCGGAAGCCUGAUGCAGCAACGCCGCGUGCGGGAUGACGGCCUUCGGGUUGUAAACCGCUUUCAGUGGGGACGAAGUUUUUUGUGACGGUACCCACAGAAGAAGCACCGGCUAACUACGUGCCAGCAGCCGCGGUGAUACGUAGGGUGCGAGCGUUGUCCGGAUUUAUUGGGCGUAAAGAGCUUGUAGGCGGUUUGUCGCGUCGGGAGUGAAAACUCAGGGCUUAACUCUGAGCUUGCUUUCGAUACGGGCUGACUUGAGGAAGGUAGGGGAGAAUGGAAUUCCUGGUGAAGCGGUGGAAUGCGUAGAUAUCAGGAGGAACACCGGUGGCGAAGGCGGUUCUCUGGACCUUUCCUGACGCUGAGAAGCGAAAGCGUGGGGAGCAAACAGG
rnacentral:rRNA from 1 species